CACGCGGGGGAGUGUGUUUUUUUUUUCCAUGCCACGCAAAAACUUUUCUGUGGUCUUGAUAUCCACGGAAGUUUUCAAAGAUGAAAAUGUUUUUUCGGGAACUGUAAGACAGGUGCUGCAUGGCUGUCGUCAGCUCGUGUUGUGAGAUGUUGGGUUAAGUCCCGCAACGAGCGCAACCCUUAUCCUUUGUUGCCAUCGUUCCGGUGGGAACUCUCAAGGAGACCUGCCGGUGAAACCUGGGAGGAGGGGGGGGAUGACAUCAAGUCCUCAUGGCCUUUAUGUCCAGGGCUACACACGUGCUACAAUGGACGCAUACAAAGAGCUGCCCACCCCCGAGAGGGAGCGGAUCCUCAUAAAGCGUUCUCAUUCCGGAUAGGAGUCUCCACCUCUCCCUCCAUGAACUCGAAUUCGCUAUAAUUCGGGAAUAAAACAGCCACGGAAAUUAUUUUCCCGGGCUUUUAAAACACC
rnacentral:rRNA from 1 species